UUAAUUUGCACAUAAUCGUAAUGUAUCAUAUACUUACCUUUAGUUUUAUUUGAGGCUUUCGGUUGUUAGGCUGGUUCUUUAAUUUCUUAUCUUUAUAAAGUGUCAAGUAGUAAUUUGAUAAGGAAAUAAAUCGUAUAAGCUCAAUAUUGUUGCUAGUGAUUGUUUUGGUCAUUCUAAACACAAAAAGCUGGAGACCAUUUGAUAUACUCUACCUAUUGUUGUCUGGGGCAGCAGGCAGCUCUACUACUACUCUCACUCACAGACAGACAAGAAUGAAAGAAAAUGUCACAAGUCCACUUCACUGCUCUUUCAGGAGUCGAGUCUGAAAUGCCCUAAUAUAAAAUAUAUAUACAAAAUCAUAUAUAAAUCACACCAAAGAUCAAAAGCCUAUAAAAAUUGAAAGAAAAACACGUGAGCGCCUGCGAUCUGGUGGCCAGAGUCUUUAGAGUCAAAUAAGAGCCAAAGCAACCAGUCAACAAACCAUCCCAACCACUAGCCAGCGCUAAUACCCAAUUAACGAAACGAAUAUUGAAAUAUGUGUGGAGACAUUUCGCCGUGAUCUACUUAUCUAUGUGUGUGCUCCAAAGCCUAUCUAUCACUUUAUACAUAAAUAGA